rnacentral:rRNA from 1 species
GAGACUCUGUGCGCGUGCAUAUCAAUAAGCGGAGGAAAAGAAACUAACAAGGAUUCCCUUAGUAACGGCGAGUGAAGCGGGAAGAGCUCAAAUUUGAAAUCUUCAAGGUUCUACCUUGACGAAUUGUAGUUUAUAAGAAGUGUUUUCUGUUAGUGGAGUGGCAAAAGUUCUUUGGAAUAGGACAUCAUAGAGGGUGAGAAUCCCGUAUUUGGUCAUUCCUCCUAGCGUUGUGAUACACUUUCAACGAGUCGGAUUGUUUGGGAAUGCAAUCCAAAAUGGGUGGUAAAUUUCAUCUAAAGCUAAAUAUUGGCGAGAGACCGAUAGCGAACAAGUACCGUGAGGGAAAGAUGAAAAGAACUUUGAAAAGAGAGUUAAACAGUACGUGAAAUUGUCAAAAGGGAAGCGUUUGACACCAGUGUUGUUUUUCCGAAAAUCAAUUACGAAUGUUUUAGUUUUUGAGGAGUUAUGACUUCAUCGGCUUGCUCCUUUCUUUAUGAAACUUUCUUAAUGCACUUUUCGGUUAACAAGUCAACAUCAAUUUCUUUUGAUGUAAAAGGGUAUGAGGAAGGUGGCUUUCUUUUCGGAGAAAGUGUUUAUAGCCUUGUGCCUCUGCAAUCGGAGAGAUUGAGGUCUGCAGCGUAGAUCCUUCGGGGUUAGACACGUUUGUGCUAAGUUAUAGCUUUUCAUAGACAACUUGUUGACUAUGUUUAGGUCUUGUAGCUUACUCGCUGACGCUAUUUUACCUACGCUUAGGAUGUUGACAGCAGUAUAGACUGU